GGGCCUUGCUCACCGAAGCUUGGUCUCCCCAUGUCGUUCUUUCUCUCACCUUCUGGCUGAAUUCCCAUCUGAAGCGUGGAGGCUCGUCAAGCCUACUAAUUUUGCCUGGGCUUCUAAGAUCUCACCUGGGAGGCCUUUGUGUCUCCUCUCCUUCAGGAGAAUGGGAGGAUGCCUGCGGCCUACACAGGUGGGGAUCAGUUCCUCUGUGAGGCCCUGUUCCUACAGACACCCUCUGAAGGUGUCCUGAGCACAGGCCAUCACCUUCUUUUGGAUCUCCGAGAAAACCCAGCUGCAAUCUCGGCUUUCAAAGAGAAUGUUUUCAGAUAAUGCUCACGCCAGGGCCACAUUCCAGACUUCCACAUUGCCACACUUCAGACUCUGGGAGUGUCCUGACAGCAUCGGCUCUUCUAAAGCUUCUCCAGGGGAGAUUUGAUGCACAGUUUAGGUUGAGA
ensembl:lncRNA